rnacentral:lncRNA from 1 species
AGAAAUUGGAAUCCACAUUUAUUGAUGAGAGAUAUAUACAUAAAGGUUAAAACACUUAGUGACAUAUUGGAUUUACAGAUUAUUUCCAGUAUAUAAAGAACAUCCAGUUAUUUUACACAUGACAGUUAUUUUACACAUGUUAAAGUAAUCAGUCCACAUUGUAAGAAAGCUUAGAAAACAAAAUAUUUCAACUACUCAAAAUGUGCUUUGCCACCAAGGCAUUUCCUAGUACCAUAUAGAAGAAAACCACCCCCAAAUUAGUUGACAUUUUUAUCUCUUUUUUUUUUUUUUUCGUUCAUUAGUCUUUAAACACUAUGUGCUAUAGAUGCUCUGAGUGACAUGACCUUAGACGAAUGGGGAUUGGGAAACAUGAGGGAAACAAUUAUUCUUAUCUUUCAUUCUGGACACAUGAGAAUCUUCAGAGGGGAUUGUGCCUAAAAGCUAGCUUGCUUUCAGGAAGGUUUCUAUCCUGAAUUUGACAGGAAUUGAAGAAACCACAUUUUUCAGAAAAAAGAAAACAUACCCCUCAGCGGUCCACUUAGUGAUAAUGAGAAUGUGUGUUUGAGAGGCAAAUAUAUAAUGUAUUAAUUAACCUCAUCUUCAGCCCCUUGAAACACGCGGACACACAGCCUACUAGGUAGAGGUCCUAGUCCCGUCACAUAUGUGGGAUCUGUGCUUCAUCAAUUGGUUUUUUUUUUGCAACCCCAAAGCUACACACCGACCAUUCCUGUGCGUCUCUAUUUUUCUAGAGACAACUGUGCAGUUUACUGCCAAAACGUGUGCUUCUGUGGGGUUUCUCCUGCUUGGCAGUUAGUCAGUGAAUGUCUUUCUUGUACCUGACUCAAGGGGACAAGGCUCUUCAGAACCUUUAUGUCAUGAGCAUCAUGACCAGUAUUUGGCAACCAAAGAGACAGACCUUUACCUAAUGACAUGAGGCUGACAAGCUCAUGCUCAGAAGCAGACCAGCCCUUCCUCUCUCUGAGCCCACUCCACCAAGUGAAGGAGGGCUGUAGAUAAAUAUUCUCAUUCGAACUCUACCUAAGCCUAGAUAAGCCAAAGUUCCACAGCUGCAUUCACUGUGCACUACAGAGGUGUCAGGUGACCUUUCCAUAAGAAUCAUGACACACAGCCAACCCUCCCUUACCCUGAAUUGCAUAUUUACAAAGAUACUGGACACACACAGACAUUCAAAUAAUCAUCGAUACAAAGGAUUCAUAGAUAAAUUCUUCACCGAUAUACAUUCCCAAGUCACAGUAAGAAAGGAGAAAUGAUUCACGACGAGCUAUCUAAGGGUUUGCAAAACAUCCAUCAACAAGUCUACUGCACUUAGAUUAAGAGCCAAAAAUGGCAUUUAAAUUAAAUUAAAAUACAUCUAUAUACCAUUUCACUGAAAUUACACAGAUACCUACAUUAUAGCUACACAAAGUGCAUAGGCACUGUCCUUCAUGCGUGAACCAAGUGUUACUGUGUGCACACAAGAACUUCAUGCUUGACAGCUAUCUGUACUUGAAAACCACAGAUACAACUGUUGCCAGUUGAGGGCACAUCUAAUCUGUUUGCUUACUGAGGAGUGGGUUCAAAUACACACCUGUACACUUUCUAUGUAACUAUUUUCCUAAAACAUAGCAAAAAUACUAUAGCCCUACAACCAUAUCAGAAAGUGUGUUUGGCAGAAGGAAGACACCCCGCCACCCCCCACCCCCCGUCUUUGCAGUGGUUAGUGAUCGCCUUUGGGGGAAAUUUACAUGGAUUGUUACUCACCUGAGGACAGAAUCUAUCUGGGCUGCUUCUAA